rnacentral:lncRNA from 1 species
AAUAUCUAAAUCCUCUCUCCUCUCAAGAAAAAGAUGGAAACUAGGAUUUCAUCCAAGAUCAGAAAAUAAAGAAAAUCAAUCCUUCAGUUCAAGAUUUCCAAGAAAACAAAUCAAGAUUUAAGCUUCCUUCCCUUCAAUGGAUCAAGAAUUCAUCCUCCUAAGUGAAAUAUUCAAGAAAUGGAUCUAGAUCUGGGUUCCAUCUUUCAAACUAAAUAAUCUUAGGUACGUGGGGUUUAUCCUAAACUACAUGGGCUUGUUGAAAUAUUCAAGUAUGAUUUAAAGAUCUAUCAAGAAUGAAUUUAUAAAGGGGUUUUUAGAUCCGUGAUUUUAUUAUGCAUUAUGAAUGUUUAAAGAUAUUGAUGAUUUGGUCUUUAGGCCUUUCCCCCUUAAAUUAAUUCACAUGUAUAUGUAUAUGUAUGCAAAAAAAAUCAGAUUUGAAGAUUGUUUGAGAGCAUAAUUUAUGAAAUCCCUCUCUUGUGAUGACUUUAAAUUUGUGUUCUUAUUGGGAAUGAUUUGAUAUGCAUGAUUUAUGGCUUGAAAAUAGUUUACUCAAAUACCAUAAUAUUUUUAGCAUGAUUUAGAGAUUUUGACGGGGAGUUUGUUGAUAUAAAUGUGUUUUGUUAAAGAGAGAAAUAUUUGCAUAAGAUCAAUGCUUUUAACAUGACCACCUUGUAUAAUUUGAAAUGUUGUCGAAGAGAGUUGCAUACAUGUGUUUACAUGAGUAAUUAAAGAAAGGGUUCUUCAAACUGAUUUAUUGAUAUGGGGAUCCCAAAUUUAUGUUUUGGAAACAAAGAUUCUAAUAUGCUAAUAAUGGCUUAGAGAUGUGACUUCCAAGUCAAUCUUAUGACGAUACCAUAAGUAUGUAUGCCAUAACAGAGUAUGUUUUUAGAGUAUGUUUUCAGAGUAUGUCUUCAGAGAAUGUUUUCAAAAUAUAUUUUUAGAGAAUGCAUAUUUUAAAAAGUUUAAAUGGGCAUAAAGAGGGUUAGGUGGUUACCCAAAGAAAGCUUGAGUUGAAGCAACUCUUAGCCUAAAAUCUUAUUUGCCGAUGCUGGUAGAUUAUUAUUUUACAUUGGUGACGGUCGUAUGGCGUAGUAGAUUUAGAGACUCCGACCCUUGCGACACGCUUGGGUUGGGGGCUUGGCUGUCAAGUUAAUGGCAGAUUCCAUAUAGCCCAUGGAAUUUUAAAGUUGUAAGGUCUACCACCUAGAGCAGAAGUAAAACAAAGAGUGUCACAGAUUUCAGAUGAUUUUUCAGAGUCUCUCGAAAGUGCCCAUGAGAUUUCUUAAUAUAUGACAUGUUUAUGAACUAUUUUAAAUUGCUCUCAUAUAUGUUUAAUAUAACUGAUUAUUUUGGAUUUACUCUGCGUAUCAGUACAUCUGUAGUGACCCCCCCUCCCCUACCUCUCAGGUUCUGAGACUCAGUCUAGGGGUCCCGAUAAGCAGUAGAUAAUUCAGACAAUAGAUCAGAUUGUGUAGUGGUGAGCCUUCUCUCUUCCAGGAGGCCUAUCCUUUUAGAUUAUGUCAUCUAUUACAGUUUUGGUCUACUGGGGGCCUUGUCGCAGUUUUUAGAUAGUUGUCAGAUUUUCAUGUAGUAGAGAUUUUGUAGACUGUUCCAGAUGUUGUUAAUAAUUUUCGGAUUUAAUUCCUUAUCGUCAAACUUAAUCCAGAGUAUGACCAUGUUUCCGUAUUAGAUCAUAAAUUCUGCAUUUUCUUUUAUUAUAUGAAUGUUGUGCAUGACUACCAGAUAGAGUAGGACGUCCGGGCCUUUAUGGUUCGGGAUGUCCAUCACGGCCAGGCCCUAGUUCAAGUCGUGAUAGCAAUAUAUGCGAAUGCUAUUGCUAAUUCAGAUGGUAAUCAAACUUAAUCUAAAAUAUUAGGGCAUAACUACCCAUCACUAAAUGAUUCGUACCAGGAUGUCCCAUAAACAAGAAUGAAACUAUAUUGAAUCCCACUUGAGUAUAUUACUUCCACUGAGUAUGUCAUAAAAAAUUUUGUAAGAAAAUUGGUAACUCGGGGCCAAAGCUAAAAGAACUAAUAUAGUGUCCAUAGUCCAUCAUCUGAACACUUAUCAACUAUAAUCCAUCCAAAGUCGAGAAGACCAAAUCGGUAACCAUGGAGUAGGCUCAACCAGCCUAUAAAUGAAAUCUGAAUUGAGGUGAAUCUAAAAAUGAAGGCUGCACUCAGCACCAUAACUCUAAGCUAAAAUCACAACACCAAGGAAUUCUUCCAUUUUCAAAUGCCCAUACUCGACUAAUUUAUGGGAAAAGCUGUUACACCGGAUCCAUACUAAAAAUUUAUCAUAACUUCCAAAUCAUCAUUCUAAGGUGUCAAAUCCGAAAUAGAGCCACCCAAUCCAAACCAAGGUCAAAUAUUCACAUCAACCACACUAUCUGAAUCAGACAUAUGUUUGCUAUAUCGUACUGAAUCAAAAUCGAAACAUUGCUGAAGGACAAAAUUACAAUAGAGGAUAAAUUACUGGCUAACAACUUAAGAAACCAACUCCAUUAUUGCUGGAAGGCACAAAUCACCAAAACAUACUCAAGAACUCCCCAAGGUUCCAAAUCACACGAGCAAUGGUAAGACUCUAGCAACUCGGAGAAAUGUAACUCAAGCCGGUAACUAACCAAUUCAACACUCCAUCUCGGCAAACAAUAGCCAUAGGCGCAUAUCAUCAAAGAGGAACACUCUACCAAGCCUUAUCAUCCGAACAAACUUUGAAAUAGGGAUUUCCAAAAUCAUCCCAAGUAGGACCAUUAUCACUUGAUCCAUCCAUUAAUGACAUCACCGAAGAACAAAAAUACCAAUAUCAAACUAAAGGUUAAUGUCAAGACCACCACCAUAAGUCAAAUAACUCAAGAUAAAGAAUUUUCAAUUUGCCAACUCAAGAAGCGAUCAAUGAAAGGCCACCCGCCUCUAAUUCUCCAACCCCACUAGACCAAACCAUAUCACAUCACAAAAUGAGCAUCAAAUCUCCACACAAAUUAUAAGGAAAACCAUCAUAAGGGAACGAACCCAACAAGUGUAAGAGAUAAGCUCAAGGCAUCUCAAUCUCAAAGUCAAACCCACUAUCGGGUGAUGAAAUACCCAUAAAUGUAGAACGAACCCCAAAUGGGUCAAGCUAAAAAAUGGGCUAUAUGAAAGAGAAUAGUUAAUACAAAGACUUUGCAACCCAAGAGGCAAUUCUAAGAAUCUCAAACUCAGGAUCAGGCAAUAUAACUAAAUUGCCAACUCUAGAGUCAUACAAAACCAUGGAAUGUCAACUUACCUUUGAUAACUCAAUACUAUUCCAAAUCAGUCUAACAUAGCUAACCAAGAGGGAAAAUAAUUAAGCUCUCCACGCAAUGGAAAAGAACUCAUCAAAGCAGGUUGUAUCUACUCAUGCCACCAAAUAAGACCACAAAAAAUGAAUUUCUAACUAGACAACACUAGUCUAAACAACUACCCAUCGAGGAUCAAUUACAUUAAGUGAUAAUACAAAAUAAUAGCAAUAACAUCAAGUAGUCAUAACAAUAGUAACAAUAAUAUCAACAUCAAUAUAAUGAAUAUGUGGUACCAAAAUGAACCUCAAUAUCAUAUACCACUCAAGGGACACAAUAAGGCCAAUGUGCCAAGAUAAUUGGACUCGAACCUCAAUUACUACACCCUUAGGGAGAAAAUGUCAAUACAUAUCUACUCCAUCCACUACUAAAACAAAUAAAUAACGGAGUAGCCACAUAAUCAUGAAUUUAAUAACAAAGCACAAAAUAAUUAUUAUGAACUCAUCAAGGCAUAUAAUCAUCAAUAGGUAUAUAAACCCCAAUACACAUAAUAAAGUAUAAAUGUGGGAAAUAAAAGCACACCUAACAUAGUAAAAUCCUUAAUCACAUACCCAAUGGGCAUAGGGCGAGUAAAUCCAAAUAAGUCUAAACGCAACCGAUCUGCUAAAUCAUCAACUGAGGUGCCAAGUACACUAUCUCUAACUGAGGAUGCGACAACAUCACAUGGUUGAUCUGAAUAAGCAAAAUAAAUAGAAAUCCAAUGUUGGGGACACUUUCUAGAGUAGUAACCGAUCUUUCUUCAGUAGUAAUAAACUUCUGAAGCUCUAAUCUUGAUGAGCAACACAAACUUUGUCCAAAUAGUUGGCCAACUGAUAUUGAGGGCAUAUCUAGUGUAAUGUCUCUCUUUCCCAUAAUCAUGGUCUGUCUUAAGAACUCUAGGUUGGAGGGAAAAUACAUACUAGCUUUGUUCGAUCACUAAUUCUCAUUUGGAGCCCUCUAUGAACCUAUGUAUCAUCUCAACAUAACCAAAACAAGAUCUUGAAUGAUACACUAAUAGAACUUUACUGAGGGCAUGGCCUCUUGCCACCACCUCUGUAGGUCUCAAUAUAUGCUCUCUCCUUUCCCUCGCCUAGUAAAAAUCUAAAAGAAGAAAGGCCCAACUGCUAUCAUAUGCUUUGAGACCAAGUGAAUGGGAAAUGAUGGUCCUCUAAUAAAUCCAUACACCAUGCCAUUUCAAAAGGGUAUAACAUAAGAAUAUGCCCUACCUAAUCUACAAACACAAUCUCAUAAUUAGAAACUGAUCAAGAACCAUAGUGAACACCAAUACGCCCAACUCUGGUCUAUAAUCUGCUCGAUGACUUGAAUGCCAUCCAUGGAGCAGAGGGAUCGACAAUUAUGACUCGGAUCCCCAAUGUUAAACUUCAAAGGGUUGAACUAGAAAUGAGCUCAAUUGGAGCCUAAGCUAUCUCCCAAAUCCUUUUACUGAAUAUGAAGGUAGGUUACAAACCUCUUUGUACUGAUCCAUAGGACACUACUAAGUAAUUAGAUCUUGUACUAGCACACCAGUGAAACCUAUGAUCUGAUACCAACUUUUCAUUACUCAAUUUCUCAAGUCAUGAUGGUGUUUUCUAUAACCCACUAGUAGGCAAGCCAAACCCGUAGUCUGAAAUGGCUAGUAAUGAACUACCAAAUAAAAUAAGGAAAGAAUGCAAAAUAAAUGUAACAAAAUAUUGAAUACAUAAAUAAAUCCCAAAACCUUGUGGUAUCAGUACAAAAGCUGCUAAUAAUAAAAAAGUAUAAAGUGAAGUACAAAUAAAUACACUGAUAUAAUUUAUCUCCAAAUACAACAUAUAGACUAGUCUAAUACAUAAUAGAGAGAUAGUAAUACUCCGAAUGUCAUAAGCUCAACCUAUGUCACUAAACCAUAGCUGCUCCAUACAACGCACAUAUCAAUGAAAAUAACUCGUACUAUGGUCUGAAGGCUACAAAAGUGUAGUAUGAGUACCAAAUAAAUAGUACUCAAUAGACAACUACAAAUUGAGCUCCAAACAUAAAGCAAAAAUAUAUAACAUAUAAACAGAAUGGAAACUACACCCAAUGUUCAGCAACCACAAAAUAGCCAAUGAGAUAAUAAGGAUAACCUAUCCUAUUCAUGUCUAAUAGAUUAACAUAAUAAGGCUAAGAAAGCAUCGAGGAUGAACUAUCCUAUUCCAGCCAUACUAAGAAAUCAUAAUACUAUACCGUAUAUCUGCAGACAAUAUAUGAAUAAAGGAUGAAGAAUGAUUAUAUAUAUCAAUAUAAAAGGUCAAGGAAUGAAUGUACAAUGUGAACAAAUGAAGGAAAGGAUAUGCGGUAAUAGCAUAGCUAAAUAUAUCUAGAAAAACAUAUAUAGAUAUAGAUAUAAGAUCAUCCUGAAGCACAACCUAGAGCAUCAUAUCUUUAUUUUAAGGCCUCAUUAUAAUUCUAUCAGGGUUUAGUACUAACAAACUUAAGGCUUCUAAUCAAUUUGUCUCAACAUGAAUUAAUUAGGCAUAAAAAUAAAAUCAUAAGAUAGAAGAAGCCAGAAUCAUACCUCAAAUCAUGAUACAAAAUCAAUGACCAAUUUUUCAUAAGCUAGAAAUAAAAUUGAUCAAAGAAAUGAUAAUAAUAAUAAUAUCAAUAACAGUGCGAGUAAUCGGAUAUUCUGGACAACCAAAUACCUAGCUGAGCCUAUGCAACCCCCCACCACCCCAGGCUUGGAAGGCUCAAUCAACAUACAACAACACAAGGUUUUAUAUGUAGUUUUGAUGAGAAAUAGCUUAACUGUAAGAGACUAGGUCCCUAGACGUGCAUAGUUCAGUACAAUUGGCAUACGAUAUCUGGACAUAUUUGUCCUCUUGUGGAAUAAACUUGCAGGUGCUAUUUUUUACUGACUUGAAUAACUUGUCCAAUGAUAUCCCUUAUUAUCACAUAACCAUAUAAGGAAUGAAACACCUCUUUUACAACUAAUUUUUACAAAAAAUCAAAGAGAAAAGAGAGGCAACAAAAACUACAUUUUAAGAUUGUUCAAGCAUUGCUCAUGUUCUUAUCCUUGUUGUAUGUUUAAAGUGUGAGUGAUUAUUCUUGAGUGCUUAUAUAUAACUGAAUUACUUAUGCUACAAGAUUAGUGUCUUCUUGUUAAGAGUGUUUCUUAUGUAGAUUUACCUAAGUUUGACACUGAUUAGUAUUAAUCAGUAGAUAGGGUCCUUGGUAGAUUUGCCAAGAUGAUCUUAUAAUAGAGUUACUACUAGUGAAAGAAACCUAGAGUUAGGUUGAGUUAAGUCUAUAAUGAAGCGUUUGAUUAUAGUGAAUUUGGAGCUGCUUGUGAGGGAAAGUCGUGGUUUCUCCCUUCAUAGUUUCCAAGUAAAAAAAUCCUAUUUCUUUACUCUUCCUGCACCGUUCCCUACUUCUUGGUUAUUUUUGUGUAUUUUGCAUGUGAUUGAUUUUGCAUGUGAUUGAUUUAUAUCACAAGGCAGAGUUAUCACCCAUAUCAAUGCAACCCUCUCAUACGAACUGAUAGUCAUAAGUAUAUACUGGUGUUAAGCGAUGCACAUAAAAGUAUGAAUGCAACAAAAUCCAUAAUAUCAUAAUACCAUUGGCAUAACCAUCACCAUCAUUAUCAUCCUCAUCAUAAUCAUCCUCUGACUUUUUUAGGUGUAUAUAUAUAUAUGGCAUACAUAGGGCUAGCCUGACUUGAACUAAUAGAUAUGCUCAUAGGAAUAUCAAUAUAAUCAUCCUCCAGCCUUAUCAGUUAUUAAUAUUACUAUCCUAACAUCUAACGACCUUGUUGGGUAUUAUCACAUCAUCAUAAUAUCCUUCGAUCUUGUUGGCUAUCAUCAUAUCAUUAUAAGAUCCUCUGGCCUUUCUGGAUCUCAUCAUAUCAUCAUAAUAUCUAAAUCAUUUCAAUAAUAAAGAGCAUGCCCCACGAUGGAAAAAGUAAAGUGCAAGCCCUACGAGUGCUAAAGUAAAGAAGAAGCUCCACGAGGGAUAAAGUAAAUAAACAUAAAAAGGGAAACAAUGUAGAGUAUACUUCUAUAAUCCAGCACUCAUCAUCAGUAUCAGAUUAUUAAUCUGUAUAUAUACAUAACAUGAAUAUUAUAACUUUCAUAGGGUUUUACCCAAAAUAUACAUUAUCAAUCUAGCUUCUUCCUCCGACCCAUAGUGGACAGAUAUGUGUCUUGAUAUGAUAGGUGCAUGGGAUCAAGCCAUGACUAAAAGAGUGUAAAUCCAUAAGUUUGUUGCCCGUAGUGGUCUUUGGGACUAAAUCAUUAUUAAAGUGUAGAAAGUGCCAGAAUCCUUUACGACUAGAGUAAUUAGUAAUAUCAAAUCAUAGAUAGGAACUUAUCUUGGUCAAGUCUUUCAAUGAUCAUUAUUAACCUCUUUUUCCAAUAAAUUUUUCAUUAAAAUAGGUAUUUAUUAUUAUGAAGAAAUCCAUUAUUAAGGUAGAAAGUUGUCUUUAACCCUUAGUUAGUGACUAUAAUAAAAAUAUUAUAAUCUAAUCGGAAUCAUAUCAAUCAUCAAUGCAAAGAUCAUGACUGUACCACAUCUAUGAAUACGAUCACCAGUAUUCAUGAAGUGGAACCAUAAACAAUAAUGCAUCAAUAAACUACAAUCAUAUCUCUUACAAGGAUAGACACUUUCUGAAUGGUCAACUUAUAUCAUAACACAACCUUGGGCCUAAUAAUGUGUCUACAAUAAUUAUAAUAUUAUAAUCACUGCCUUUGUCCUACAAACAUAUUUGGAACCCAUAUCAAUAUCAUAUUUAUAAAUCAUCUCAUUUUAAAUAUGAGAUAGCGUAGUUAUGAGUCAUAACAUCUCCAUAAGCCAUAAGGCAAUCUAUAAUCAUCUCAUCUCCAAUAGCAUAAUAUAUCAAUAAGCAUAUCACAUCAAGGAGGAAUCUCAAAUCUAGGAGACAUAAUAUAUUAAUAGACAUCUCAUAUCUAGGAGGAAUCUUACUUCUAUAAGUCAUAUAUCAUAACAAUGAGGGAUAUCAUCUCUAUAGGCCAGAUAUCAUAUCUAAGAGAAAAUAACAUUUCUAAAGUCCCUUAAUCAUAAUUCAGGGAAAUUUAUCAAAAUUUACUAAGCCACGCAGUAAACUUAUUCUAAAGGCUCCAUAUUCUCAACUAGGCCUAACAUCCGCAACUAAGUCCACAAGGGCUAACACAAGUCAUGGCCUAAGGUGGGUCAGAAGAACCCACUUCUAAUCCUAAAAUUCCAUAUUUAGGAAAUUCAUAUCCUAAAAUAGGCUAAGGUAUCUAGUUCAACUUCUAGAUGUCAAGUAAGAAAAACCAAUCCUACGAUAGGAAUUUUAUCUAGAAACAUGGGCAAUUAUGUCAACUCUACUCAAAUAACAGUUUUAGGAUCACUAGACUAGCCCAUCCAAGGUUAAUCAUAAUAACCUUGAUUUAAACACUUAAACCACAUCCCAAACCUAGCAUCAUAUCAUCUCCAUGAAACAAAUUAGUUCAAUUUCGGGAGAAGGCAAUAGGACUAAAAUAGAAUAUUAAGAAUUUCAACUCAUGGGUAAAAAUCCUCAUCUAAACCCCAAACAUCAAAAUUAAAUACUAAGUCAUUCUACCUAUAAUCAAACAUAACAUUCACAUUCACACGUAAUAUAUAACACAUAUCAUCUUACAAAGAAGAGUAGACAAAAGCAUCUCUCAAAGCCGACUCGAAAAUCCUUAUAUCAUUCAACAAAAUCUCAACUUCAUUUCACAAUCCUAAAAUUCCAUCACAUUAUAAAAAUCAUAAUCUACUCAUCAAUAUGAAAAUACAAAUACCCAUACUGCACCAUUGUGCUUCGAGUCCAAAAACGACACCAAAGACCCCAAGUAUGUCCUACUUAUUGAAAACACAUUUUCAAGGUCAACCAAAUAUUCAUAAAUCAUCAAGGAAUCAUAAUUCUUAAGAAUGGGUAAAAAAUAAGCUCAUUUGGGGCUAAAAUCAAGCCCUCAAUCUAUUUGGGGUUUUGGUCAAAAACAAAGAAAAGACACAAAGAAAUUUUUGAAAUCUACCUUAAUUCAAAUGAUAAUCAUGAUAAUAGAUGUUUAAAAAGCUCCCAAGUCACCCACAAGAUUCAACUUUGAGUUAUCAUACUCAUUUAUGGUCUUUGGAUCUAAAGAAUGAGUAAGAAAUAGCCAAAAUAGCGAUAUUUGGGUUCAUUUAUAACCACUUCAGGUACAGAGUUAUCUCUAUUAGAGUAUUAGCAACCAUGAUCACACUAUUUCUAUUGAAAUAGGCCCUUGUGCGAUCGCACAUGCACCAGUACCAACAAAGUCAAAAACUUAUUUUUGACCUUUAGAACUCAUUUGGACUCCAAUUUUUGCAAAUGAACUCUCUAAACCCAUGAAAUUCAGCAUUCCAAACAUGUUGGUGAAGUUGGAUAUUCCAUCUAAGGUUUUUUGACCAAAUAUGGGUCCCACACUAAUAUCUUUUAAUUUUCCAACUUUUUAACCAACAGAUCAAAAUGAGAUCGGGUGAAUUGGAACGCAAACCAAAGGUCUACGUAGCCGAAAAUUGAUAUUCUAGAGCUAUUGGUGUAGUCAAAAUUUGCAUCCAAUAUCAUUUUACUAAAUUUAUCACUCUCUGGACAUUUAGAACCAGCGAAGACUUUUAAAUAGGGAACUAGUUCUAAAAAAUAAAUAAAUUGUCCAAUAAUUGAACGGUCAGUCCCAACAAGUCAUAAAUGACUUGGGGCAGCUAUGGAGAAGCACAAUCGACAAAAAUAAAUGGAAUUAUGAAAAGUGAUCUAAAGGAUUAUUACAGGGAAUCUAUCCACUAGUCACUCCCUAGGAAAAUUAAUGUAAUGGACCCUCAAUUACAAGAUAAACUAAGAUAAAUCAAGAAUUCACCCAAUUACACUAGAUUAACACUAUAAUAGCAAUACUAAGAGAUAGUUUUAUCAACUUCAAUCAAUCUACCUUAUUCUCGAGUAGGAACUCUUAUUUAUAGUUUAGGGGACGGGUAUUUAGGACAAAAAUUGAUCUUCCAAAAUAGUCCAAAUAUGACUCAAAUAUCAUAAUUCUUUUGGGAAUACAAAAUCAUCAGUGGUCACAUUAGGUGAGAUGCUGUGGAAUUACAAGCCACACUUAGCCACUAGUUUUUCCCUGCAAAUGGAGUUUACAUUUGGUCAAAUGCUUGAUGUAUUUGGUGAAAUAUUGGUCGUAUUUCUUAUUUUAUUGGCUGUAUUUUGGGUCUUCCUAUCAUACAUCGCUCUCUUCUUGAUCCUAUUUGAUCAUCAAUAUAUUAUAGAUCUUUCUUUGUUAUGAUUUAAAGUUCUCCAAGACCUCCUUCUUUAUGUACAUGACUUGUAAUUAUUAUAGACUCUUGGCAUGAUUUGACUUAAUGUCCUUAUGAAAGUUGAGCUUUUCCAAUAUCAUGUCAUCCUCUCCAUCUUGAAAAAGAUUUUUUCUUCAAUCUAUAGAGUCUCCUACAACAUAAAAAGAUAGAUUAUUUGUAAUUAAAAACAUUAUGAAUGUUAUACUAACAUGAUAUGUUAAUAUUGAACCUAUUAACAUAGGACUCAACCUCCUCUUUUGAAGUUAUGGGAUUCUUUCUUUUCUAAAAUGAAUCCUAAUCCAAUUUUUGGGUUUGAAGGUCACCUCUCUCCUUCAUUGGUUUUUUUAAAGUUCCACCUUGAAGUUGUUCCAUUGUAUAGAUUCUCUCACAUUUACAUAUAUCUUUACCAUCUUUUUUUUCCUUUGCCAUGAUUCUAUGCUCACAGCAAGAACACUAUAUAAAGGGGUUAAGUUUAAAAGAAAUAAUGGGUAAAACAAUAGCAUACUUUAAAUGAAGUUAUGUUAAUAGAGGUAUGAAGAGACCACAAUAUUAUGCAAAUUCUAUUAAAGUUAAGUUGGGUUUCUCCUAGUCAUUAAAUAUAACAUGAUUCCAAGAGUUCUAUUGACUACUUCAACAUGUCCAUCUAUUUGGGAUGACAAGAAGUAAAGAGCAUAAGUUGUUAUCAAGUGUACCUUAUAGGCAGAGUCAAAUGUGGAUAAGAAAUUUGGAGUCCAUAUCACUAAUAAUAAUGUGAGGUACUCCGUACAAUUUGAGUAGAGGAUUGACAAAUAAGGAUUUAACAAGGAAUACAGCAUCACAUUUAUGGCAUGUAAUGAAAUUAAAAUUUUUGAGAAUCUAUAAAAUACUACAAAUAUUCUAUCAUGACCUCUCCUAGUUCUUUAGAGACCAAAUACAAAUUCCCUAGAAAUGUACAACUAUGUACACUUAUGUAAUUUAUAAAUUUUGGAUCAUAAGUCAUGUAUUAGCCACUUUUAGGAUCAUGUAUGAGAUUAACAAAAUUUUUAUAGUAAAGAGUCAUGUGAGCUAGAUAUCAUGAAACAUUAAGCCAUGUUCAUAGUCAAGACCUUUAUUUAAUUAAUGAGAGUUAUGUAAUAACUCUUGAGUAUCCUUAUGAAGGAACAUAACUUCUAGUAAAGAGAUUCAGGUCAACAUGUCAAAGAAAAGAAAGAAAAAUCGCAUAUUUUAGAUGAAAAGUAGAACAAGGGUUGUUUUUGCUAAAUAUUAUGGAAACAUUCAGUAUUUAGAAAAUUUUCAUAUUGGGAAAUUCAAGAAAGUCAUAGGAUUCAUGGAAAAAUUUAAUCAGCCAAUCAAUAUUUUCAAAGAUCAAGAAUUUCAUAAUUAUAUAAAGACAUACGACUUUUUAUUCUUGAAUUCAUGCAUAAGAGUCCAUGUAAAUUUCAUAAAUUAGGAUAAUCUUGAAGUAAGAGGUUUAUCCAUUGAAAUUCUAUAAAUCUUCCCUGCAGAAUUUAGCUAAAUAUCAAGAUCACAAGAAAUAUUCUAACCCUCGUUCAUCAUAGGAAUAAUAUGAACUGAGGAAGAAUGGAAUUCAUAGGAUUACAAGAUUAAAAUGGUCUUAAAUAUCUUGGAUAAGAAUAAGAAACAAGUAGAAACUUGGAAGAAGAGUAGGAGAAAAACCUUGCUUAACUUUUUAUGUAGCUUUUCAAUUGACCCACGUGUUUAAUGUUGGGGAAUGAAAAUAGGAGAGAUAUAGGUAUUAAAUUAAUGGUAUUUAACUAAUAAAAGUGUUUUUAUUUUUUUUAAAAAUAUUGCUAAAGGUCCAUAGAUGAAACAUCCUUAGAAAGGCUAAGUUCCUUAAACCACACCAUAUUAGCUUAGGGCAUCACCCGGGGUGCUACCUCAAGAUUUCCGGGUUGUGUAUCGAAAGACCCACAUGCCUUCUCGCAUUUUUUUCUACAGUGAUGCCUAGCAAAUUUCUAUAUUGCAUUUCAUCAGCUCAGGUGUGUUUUUCUCCUCUUAGACAUGAGCCCGGUCAAACUUAUUUUAGGUCUUCUAAUACAUAAAUAGUUGAUUCAAAGUGAGCCUCAAUAUGUGAGGUGCUAUAAUAUCUACCAUUUGGGGUCAUUUGUCAUCUAAUAAAAAUUAUAAGAAAAUAAGAAAACAUACAAUACUGAAUCAUAGAGUAUGAGAUAUUCGACAUAGAUAUGAUCUACGAUAAGCGUUGUAUUGGACAUGAUCAUAACAAUGCAAUACAAUGAAUUCAUGGGAAAUAUGAGCACAAUUUUGGAUUUCACCUUUAAUAUUUCCCCUUGAGGAUUGAAUAAGUACAAGUAUAUAUUAUCAAUCCCUCAUGUCUUGCUUUACUUCUUGGGUAGAAUUUUUAACCUUUUGGUUCCUCCAUAACAUCGUCACUAAAGAAAUUCCUUUGUUCCUAAAAUUUUGAACUUGAUAAUCCUAAAUAUCCAUAGAAACAUAUUUAUAAGUCAAAGAUACCUUAACUCUAAUACUCUUUGUAGAAAGUAUAAGUGAAGGGUCAUCCAGACACUUCCUGAGAACGGUGACAAUAAACACCUUGGUGAGCUAAGGCUAAAUACUCAAGUACCUCCAUUUAAUUAGUGACUUACUCAAUUCUCAUUAAGAUUCAAUAAAGGACCAAUGUAUCAAGGACUAAGUAUUCCCUUCUUCCUAAAUUGUAUGACAACCUUCAUAGUUAAACCUUCAAUAACACAAAACCAUCCAUAUCAAACUCCAAAUCUCUAAUCCUCACAUCAUAAUGGUACUUUAAAUCAUUCUCCGCAGUCUUUAAAAUUUCAUAAAUUAUCUUAAUUAUAUUAUUCCUUUAUGAAUAAAAUAUUAAACCAACAACUUACCUCACCUACCAUUUACCAACCUAUUAGUGAUUGAUACCCCCACCCAUUGUAAGACAUUAUAGUAUCUCAUAUGAAUGAUGAAGUGAUAGCUAUCUUUGUAAGAAAACUCGAUGAUAGGUAAGUGAUUAUCCAAGUUAUCCUUGAUGUUUAGACCACACACUCUCAAUAAGUCUUCAAGUGUCUGAAUGGUAUGCUAAGAAUUACCAUCCAUCUAGAGGUGGAAAGUGGUACUAAGGUUUGUCUGCAUACCCAAACCUCUAUGAAAAAAUCUCCAAAAGUAAGUGGUGAACAGUGCCUCUAUAAAAAAUGAUAGACAUGGGUGUCCCAUGAAUCUGACAUUCACUCAAAUAUAUAAUUAAGAAUAACCCUGUGUGGAUCUUGUUUUCUUAAUAGAAGUGAACUAACUUGGUUAUACAAUCCUCAAUUACAAAAAUAAUGUCAUGCUAAUGAUGAAUACAUGAUAAACCUAUUAUGAAAAUCAUAUUUAUCAUCUCCCACAUAAAUUUAUUUUGAGCAUACCACCAAGUGUUUGGUGUUCAACCUUAACUUGAUGAGAAUUUAGGCACUUAGCAAUAAAAUUGGUAAUUUUUUAUUUAUGAUAUUCCACUAUUAAUUAUUCCUCAGGUCAUGAUAUAUCUUUGUUGAGCAACGGAUGACGGAAUACCUGGAUGGGUAUACUUCUAACAUAAUCAUCUCUUGAAUACCAUCAAUAUUCAAAAGACAUAUCAUAAUUUAGCUAUGAUAAAAUGAGGUCAUUAUUUUAUUUUUCCUUAAAUUUUGACACUAAGGAAGAUUAAGAUAUACUUUGAACAACUACACCACUAUCUCUGGAGUCUAUGAGUUAAACCCAUAAGUUUGCAAGCAAAUGAAUAUAUUUAAAAAGCCAUUUAUUCCCUUACUCUACAAGGAAUGACAUACCCUGGAUAGUCUAUUGAGAGAAUCUAUGACUACACUAGUAAUGUGCACCCUUACUAAAGUGACUCUCUCUCGGGUUAUGAUUCUAGCAAGUGUUACAAUAUGAAAUGAUGGAAACCACUGAGCCCUAUUUCCUUGAUAUUAAGAACCAUGAUAUUGUGAAUUCUUAUUGGCCUAAAAUUUUAUGUUGUCCUAUGCCUUGAUAUAGGUGUACUAUCUAAAUACGAAUCAGGUCUAUGUGAUCUUUUAUGAAAGAAUGACCUAUUUCCACUAAAAUAUUUUGGUGACUAGAUUUAUUGCUGGCUGACUUAGAUUUUUUAAUUUUAUAUUCCUCUUUAUCCUUUUACUUUUGCUUCAUAACCUAUUGGAUGUAAACCAUUAGAGGGGGUAUAUACAUAUUAUUUCUAAGAAUGCCCCUAACUCUUUCUUUAUGUAUUUAGAAACCCUAGACACAAAUUUAAAUAUCAUUUCCCUUUUUGUGGGCACCAUCUUAGAGCUUACCUAGAUAACUAAGUGAAGCUAAGGAUAUACUCACAUACACUUAUCUUUGAUCUAGAUUCACUAACUCCUCGACAUUAGCUUCACUCAGUUUAAGAGGUAGAAAUCGGUUAAGGAAAGCUUCUAUAAAGUCAUCCUAAAUAGAAAGAGUUGUGAUCUUCCCUCUACCUAUAUCUUUUUUCUCAUACUAUAUAUUCACAUUAUCCUUUACCCGAUAAGAGGUAAGUUCAACCUUCUCAAUCUCUAUAAUAUGCAUCAUACUAAGAAUUUUCUAGAUAUCAUUAAUAAUGUUUUAAAGGUCUUUCUCUACCUUAGAUCUUGUGAAGAUUAGCGGUUCAUUCAAUGGAAAUCCUAAAUCCUUGUGGUAUCUAAAGAACUUGAGAAACCGCAUGAGUUAUUAAUUUUUAUAAAGUUUAACUCUAUCUAUGAAAUAGAGUAUGAAAAAGGUAAGGUGUUUCCUAAUAUAAUGUAACUUCCUUAUUAUAAGUGUGUCACACUUCAAACCCAUUAAAAGAAUGUUAAUAGACACAGCUUUCGAGACACCUUAGGAUACUUAAAGCUAGUCUCUGCAACAAUGUUUUUCAUGCCCUAAGCUGAGACCCUGUAUAUUGCAAAAACCUAAUAUUGUUACUAGAAUAAGUGAAUUAACAUAGAAAAUCACAUAAGAAUAUAACUAACAUAUAUAAAUACAUUAUAAAAUAAAGUAAAGAUAAAAAAUAUUUCUUUAAAGGAAAAUAAUACCUUAUCAUUUCAUUUAAAACAAUGUAGUAAUAAUAAUAAUACUGAUAGUCAUGAAAACCCAAGUCUAAAAACAAAAAUAUCCUAUUGGCAUCUAACAUAGUCUUUGAAGUCUCUACAAAAUAUCGCUAAUUUCCAGGACAAGGACCCAAACAUACUUGACAACUACAAAGAGAAAAUAAAAUGAGAUAUCUAUAUUAGUUCUUAGGUAGGGGGAGGUUAACCAGUGGUAGAUAGUAGAAAACUUAGUCAUGCAUCUGGUUGUGUUCUUGUGUACCUUCUCUUAAAUCAUGAAUGAUGCAACACUAAAAACGUCAAUACAUAAAAAUCAUAGUAUCUAAAACCACUUGAAAGGGUGAUGCAAAGUAUAAGAACAUACAUUUACAACUAUGGAAUGAUAAACUGAAUAAGACAAGAAAAUAAGAUGGAUUCACAAUAAAUAGAAACAAGUAACUCAGUCCUCUUUUAUUUAUUUAUAAACCAACAUAAAAACUUCAUGUGACCGCAUAAAAUCUUAUCUUAACCUGAUCAUCUAAUCCUUUAUUUACCUUGCUUGGCAUAGGACAUAUAUGAUAUAUUUUCCAGCAAGGAUCCAUAAUAUGAACUUUUCAAAAUACAUCAAAAGAAUCGUCCAACUUGUGGACCAAUCUUUAACCUAUAUCAGUAAAUAUAGUUUUGGGAUUUUUUCAUUUAGGCCUAUGAAAUCUAGAUUAGCCAUCUAACCCACCUAAUUUUAUAAAGGUAUUUCCUUUAUUAGUUCAUGUUCAUAAACUAGCCUAGUUAGGCCCAAGUUCUUAGAAUUUUCUAAUUUAGGCUCGUAAGUCAUGAAGUAGAAAUUUUAGGGCUCAUUUCGAGAACCAACGAAAUUUUAGAUUCAUAAAUCAUGUCUUAUUAAUUAAAAUACCUAUGCAGAGUCAUGUGAGGUAUAUAUCAUGAUACAUUAUGCCAUAAUUCAAAGUCAAGGGUUUUAUUGUAUUAAUUUGACAAAAGGAAUAACAUAGGAGUUUUUCUAUUAUUGAACAUAACUUAUCAUGAAAAUAUUGAAUUCAUCAUUUAAAACAAAAGUAAUACAAGAUCACAUUAUUUUGUUAAAGAUUAUGCAAAUUUUCAUGAUUUAGAAAAUUCACAAGUUGGAGAAAUUCAAGAAUUUCAUGGGUUCAAGGUAAAAAAAAAUUAAUCACUCAAUCAAUAUUCUCAAAGUUCAUGAAUUUCAUAAUUUCAUAAUGUUAGAAGAUUCAUAAUUCUUGAAUUCAUUCAUGAGAGUCAAUGUAAAUACAUAAAUUAGGUUAAUCAUGAAGUAAAAAGGUUACCCAUGGAAUGAUAUAAUAAUUUCUUAAAGAAUUUUCUUAAAUAUAAAUAUCAUCAAAAUUUCUCUAUCCUUAUUUCAUCAUAGAAAUAAUUUUAGAGGAAGAACUGAAUUUGUAAGAGUAUGAGAUGAUAGCUAUCUUACGUACUUUGGAAAAGAAGAAGUAACUUGAAAUAAGAGUUAGAGGAGAACUUUGCUUAAGUUCGAGUAUUUCUUUCUAGUGAACCUUUGUGUUUGAUGUUUGGAAGAAGAAAUAUGAGUUAUGUGUUAAACUAAUUAUUUUUAAUAGUUAAAAAUGGGUUUUAAUCAUGCUAAAGGAUACUUAAAGGAUUUUAAAUGAAACAACCUGUAAUGCCAUGAAAUCCUAUCCAGGAGCGUCACACGGUGCUUAAGGCUACAAGUAGCCCCAAGCUAACCCUUUGAGCCUGCUACUUAGUAUAAAGCUUACUUAAAGAUAAUGAGAGAAAAAUAAGAAAUCAUGUUAUAUCAUAUCUAAAUGAAAUCUAAAUGAGUACUGCAAAAGUAACCAAAUACUACAAGUCUAAACAUACUGACCAUCUAGUCUGACAAAGCCUCUACUACUCAACAAACUAGAGAGCCAUUGGGACAGAUCCCCAACUGACUCGAACUAAACUAAAAGCAGUAGAAAAACUACUAAAAAUACUAAAGUGUCUAGAGAUAGGUCCUCAAACCAUAAGGACUCACCAUAGUAGAGAUGUAGAUAAAGGUACUCGGGAUCACUGACACUGCUGGGACUGAGCACCUGAACCUACACUAUGAGAUAAUAUAGCACACAAACGUAUAUAAGGAUUAGCACUUGGGAAUGUACUGAGUAUAUGAGGGUGUAUGCAGCUAAAUAUCAGUACAAUAAAUCUUUAUAGAAAACAUACAUGGUAUUGUAGAUGACUCACAUAACUUGAAUAAAACUCUCAUGAAUCAUAAGUAAUGAAAUAUGUAUUAUAAAUGCCCAACUGACUCGAACUGAACUGAAAGCAAUAGAACAACUACUAAAAGUACUGAAGUGUCUAGAGAUAGGUCCUCAAACCAUGAGGACUCACCAUAGUGGAGAUGUAGAUAAAGGUACUUGGGAUCACUAACGUUGCUGGGACUGAGCACCUAAACCUACAUUAUGAAACAAUGUAGCACACAGAUGUAUAUGUGGAUCAGCACUUGGGAAUGUACUGAGUAUAUGGGGGUGUAUGCAGCUAAAUAUCAGUACAAUAAAUCUUUAUUGAAAACAUACAUGGUAUUGUAGAUGACUCACAUAGCUUGAAUAAAACUCUCAUGAAUCAUGAGUAAUGAAAUAUGUAGUAUAAAUCACAUGAUCCAUUACACGUUGUUCUAAAUCUGUAUUCUUUAUUUGAUCUCAAGCUUGUAAACUAGUUGAACUCUUAAAACAAAAACUAUUAGAACAUACACUUCAGUCUUUCGAAAACAAGCAACUUCUUUGAAACUCAAGGACUUAAAACCUUAAGAACUUUAAGACUUGAGACUCUAGGAAACUUGGGAGUUUCUUCUAACCGACAUAAACCAUGUGAGCUACAUGGAGUCCAACGUCUUUCCCACGUUGGGAAGAGUUGUUCUAUCCUUGCCAUCAAAGUAAAACAUUUACUUUUAGUGAUCACUAGAUUAACCCCUUUGGGGUAAAUCAAAUCCUAUAGUGGCUCGUAAUUCUGGGGCAUGAGACCUCAGAAUCAAGCCCAACUCGGUGCUAAGUACUACUCCCAUACUAGGCUCAGAACUUUUAGGAAAAUCCACCUUACAUAAUUCAACAUUAUGAAAUGAGAUCCAAUAUUCUUCCCUUUAACUUAAAUCACAAGAUGCGGAUUCCUUUCUUAACUUAGGAUCAAAUCAACUCUUUUCUUUAAACUUUGGUAGACUAUCUUUAACAAGCUUUGAAAGUUCAAUGUUAUGGAGAUAUCAAUACCAUUCUUGAAAUACUAUAGAAUAUAUCAAAAUUCAUUCUUGGACCUUAAAACAUGUAUACAUAUUCAAGAAAUUUCAAUUCAAAAUAGAGAGUAAAUCCUGACUUCAACCUUAAGAGUAUUCCAAACAUCAAUCAUGGAAGGAAUAUGUAAUUCAUAAAACUAAUUCUCAAUUCAAAUCAUAAAAUAGGUGUAGUAUCAUAUAAUUCAAGACUUGAAUAGAUUCAUAAUAUUAUAUACUUGAAAUAUAGUAAUUUAGGCAUAAUUCAUCUUGAAACAUUAAAAUCUUUUAAGAAAAAACAAAACUUUGGGCACAAGAACAGAAGAAGUGUUCUUGUUUAAAUCCCACAUACCUCGAAUUAUGAACUUUGAUGAAUAAGGUUGCUUGAGACUCUUUCUCAUACUUUUGGAUAAGGGUUCCUGAAGCCUUUGAAUUGGGAACGUUGAAUCCCAACUAAAUUUGUGAAAGCUACGGUGGAUUCUUGAGAUUCUUGGAAGAGGUUCUGGGUACUUAGGGAUUUUGUUGAGAGAAAACUUGAUAAAAAACUAAUAGAAUACUUGUAAAUGACUUCAAUUUGGUGUUUGUAUGGUUUAAGAGGCUUUGAAAAAGUCCAAAGUACCCUUUUUAACUCCUAAACGUAGUUUGAAAAAUUAAACUGGAAAACCUAAUUUUAUAGGCCACCGCGACGCGCCACUAUCGCGGUGGCUCACUGGAAAUUGACAAAUGGGAUUUUUGGGGUCACCGCAAUGUGGAGCCAUCGCGUUGUCACAAUGGUUGGGACCUAGAAAUUCAGUGCAAUGCACCACAAUCGCGCUAGGCUACUGGAAUUUGAUAAUUUUCAAAUAGGCCUUCUCCGCAAUGUGCCAAGCACUAAAAUGGCACUAUUUUACGACUAGGACUUAAAUUUGCCAUAACUUCUUGUUCGAUUAUCAGAUUUGGGUGAAUCUUACAUCGUUAGAUAGCUAAUAUAAUUUGCCACAUGAUAAAAUAUUGAAAUUAUGAAAAUUCUAUAUGGUUUAAAUGUUUCAUAUUUAGGAAGUCAUUCCUUAGCCUUCUAGAGACAAAAUUAAACUUAAGGAAAAGUUUGGGGGUGUUAUACAACUCCUAGAAUGACUGAGUUCCUUUGAACCAUUCUAUAUUAUCUUAGGGCAUUGCCCAGGACACUACCUAGGGCACCUUCUCAAUCCUUCUUGGUAGUCUUUUAAAGGCCUCACAUGCACCUCCCUCCUUUUGUGCUACUGAAAUUACUAGAGCACUAUUUGGAGCAUUAUCUUAGUGGAUUCAUCCGCUCAAGUGAUUUUUUCUCUCUUUGAGAUCGUCUAUAGUGUACACAUGACCCUAUGUUGAUUUUUAACUUAUUGUUGAUCCCAUUAAACAUGAUUCUGGGCUAAUAAUACAUAAAUGGAUUAUUCUAAGUUAAACUCAAGGUAUGAGAUAUUAUAGUUCAAUCCUUUGUUUCAAAAUUCACUUGAUUAUAGGUUUCAUUAAUUUUAUUAAAGAAUUUAUAAUGUUAUCAGGCUUAAAUCAUCUUAAAUAUUUUUUUAUGCUCAUGCAUAUUUUAGUAUAUGUUCUAGCAGAAUUGUGAUGGCCCGAAUCUGGUAUCCAAAAUGCUACACGGUGGUCAUGACCCUGAAGAACCACAAGCUAAUCCAUGACUGAUAUUUGUACCUAAACACUACAUAAUAUACUCUAUAAAUGCAGAAAUAAUCGGCUGAAACAUGCCAUAAGGUUCAAAACUGAUAAACUUCUGAUAAAACCAUAUCUGAAUAAUGUGGAAUGACAAUACCAAAACUAAAACAAUGUCUAAAAAUAUCUAGUAUAAAAACACUGUAGUCUGAAAGCCUCUAAACUGUCUAAUUAAAGAGUUAAUGGGACAUGUGCCCAACUAACUUCAACUACUGAAAUAAACUAAGUAAUGAAGAAAUAAAAUAAUGAUCAUGUCCUCGAAGGAUGAGGACUCACUGCUAACUUUGACUGUUGAAACUGGAAUUCUACUGAUGCUCUGGAGCUCGUGCUUCUGAACCUAUGGUAUAAAACACCAUAGCACAAAUGCAUUAGUAUGUUUGAAUAUACUGGUAUGCAAGUGAGGUAGGCUGAAUACAAAGGGUUCAAAUGCAUAAACAAUGCUAACUGACAGAAUAACAUGAACGUGAGAAUACAUGCAUAAAUAAGUGACUGAAUUCGUAAUGGUAAUGACUACUCAGUCUGAUUACCUAUAACAUGAGUCACUGAUAACUAAUAUAACUGAUAUUGAGAAUCUAUAUCUAAUAGUAUAGGUUUUGAUGGAACUAACUAAGUUCCGUACUAUUUUGAGUUAACUAUAUCUGGCAGUCCUGAAAUUCUAAAAAGCUCUCUGAGUUUUAUUACUGAGACUGAGUCUGAAACUGUAACUGUGGGAAAUAGUCAUCUAACCGACAUGCCCCAAAUAAAGCAAUAUAGCUUGGUUGCAUUCUAAUCUGUAACCUCAGUUGGAAGGAUGUCAAUAUCGCGCCACUGAUAAAGACAAGCUGUUGGUGACCCUUAUCUGAUAGUGUCCCCAAAAGAGAAUGGUGGGACCCUCAACUGAUAGUGUUUAUCCACCUUAUCAACCCUCAUCUUUCAGUAUUGAUGUCUCAACCUAUGCUGGCUACAUAAUUCUGCAACGCAAGGAUUGCUUCUAAGGAUAAUACCCUCAACUAUCAGUGUGUGUCCUCAUCUUUGGGUUCACUUGGUGCUAAAUCCUACUCUUAUCUGAAUAGAGACUGAACAUGAUUAACUAAACUGGACGGAGUUCAUUGAGUUCUGUUGACUGACAAAAUACUACUAAGAUUACUGAAGUACUGAGCUUUCGGAGAUUACUGAGAUUACUAAGUUUACUGAGUUUUCCUGAGUCACAUGACUGACUGAAUUCUACUGAACAUGGAUUGACUGAGGAUAUCAUGAAAAUAUGACACUGGCUCUAGACAUACAGCUAAAUUGUCAGGUAUUAGAUACCCCCAGGACUCGACAGCAUAAUAUGUAAAUCAUGACACAAGCCUAAAAGCCCAACAAUGGCUAUAUACUCACGAUUCAUUUAUUACUACAUUUCAAUGAACACUUAGGGUGUAUCACUUGUACAUGUAUGGGGAAUACAUAAUUGCAUACUAUAUCAUGGAAUUAAUCUAUUCUCAUGGACAAUUUAUCAAACACUUGCACAUAAACUAAUCAUGGCAUGGUUUCUUCUCUUAUUAGUUCACAUAGGCAAUUCAUCAAGCACAUAAUGAACAUAGUACAUGUAGACAACAUUGCCCAAAAAGAAAAUAUCAUGAUUCAAUUCUAAUUUCGUAAUUCAAGGGUUUCAUCAUAGGUUCACAUGAAUCUACUCAUAUAAUAACUAAUUCCACAUAAAAUUUAUUACUAAAUAUGAAUUAGAACUCAAUUGGUCAUUAUCAAUAUAAACAAAAGCAAACCCAAUAUGGGAUUCAUAAAAAUCCAUAUACUUGAACUUUGAAAAAGAGAUUCUUGAGCUUCAUGGGUGAAAAGGGACCAUGAAUCAACACUUGACAUACCUUGAUUGUAAGUUUCCUAAAGUUCUUGGAGAGAUUUGCGGAGUUGGCUUUGAUUUAUUGAAAGCUAGGGUUUUGUUUCUUGGGAGAGAAUGUUCUUGAUUUAGGGAAAAAGUGAGUAAAUAAUGAUAGUUUUAAAACAUUUUUAGGGAUUAAAUCCCGCACCUAGACGUGUUAAAACCUUGGAAAAAUACCAAUUUAUCCCCGAACAAGAAAUAUUUAAUUUUUGUCAAAAAUUUUCAAAAUGGGAACCUGGCGCGACGCGAUGUGCUAUCGCACCGCGUCACUGGAAUUUGACAAUUGGGAAAUUAGGAGAUGGCGUGAUGCGGAGACAUCGCAAAGAUUCAAUGGAAAAAGGACAAUUGGAUGUAGAAGCCCUCCGUGAUGCGGUGUAAUCGUGGAGUCUUACUGGAAACUAAUAAACUUCAUUUUGGCUUAUGACGUGAUGCGCCACUGGCUGAAAUGAAGGUAUUUUAUAACUGAAACUUUAAAUCUCCAUAACUUCUUACCCGGUUAUUUGAUUUAGGCAAAUUUGGUAUUGAUGGAAAGAUUAUUCAAUUUUCCACACAACAAAUAGUGAAAAUCUUGAAAAUUCCACAUAUAUAAAAGUGUAUUCAUCUUUAAAGCAUAUUUUUUACAUCUUUGGGAUGAAUUUAAGCUAGGUAGAAGUAUGGAGUAUUACAAGAAUGCUAGCCAAGGGUACACUUAGAUAGUGAUGUCAUUGGGUGUUCAGCACGACCAUAGUAUAGACUUGGGGCAUGACAAACUUUGUAUUAGAGAACAAAGUUCAAGUAUACUAUGAAUUUAUGAAGCUUUGUCAGUAGGAUCUUAUUAAUUUUUGUAAGAGUACUACACUAUAAAUAAAGAGCUUUAGAUAUAUAAGAAAAUUUUAAAAUUCUUUCAUACUCUCAAUCGUACAAUAGAAUUAUGUAGUAGGAACAUAUAUAAAUUUAUGUGUUGCUCUAAUUCCACCAUUUAUGCCUUAUAUUUUUGGUGAUAGAAGAAGUAAAGCUCUGACAUAUAUCAAUAUGAUGCAAUCAAAUAGUGCUAUUAGAAAGUUAAGAGAUAACACAAGGGAUUAAGAGGAACCUAUAAGUAUUUUCUAGUCUAUCAAAUCAUAUACCUUUAUUAAUAUUCAACACAAAUUUGAUCCAAAUUAAGAUGUGCACUAAAAUACUUUUGAAACAUUAAUAUAGGUUGCACUCUUAAGGAGGGAAGGUAUGUAUCUAGAUGCUUGGGUAAUGUUGCCACCCUAGAUAUAGUGUAAUUCUGGGAAUUUUAAGUCGUAAAUGGAAGGAUUAUCCCAAAGCCAUAAAUAAGAUGUGUAAGUAAUAGUAGCUAGAAAAUGGGGAGAGUAAAUUGAAUAAUGUAAGUAGCCACAACCUUCUAUCUAUCAAGUAACUAAUGAAAUGAUAUUUUUUUAGUAUUAACUAUGGUUUAGUAAGACUUGUGCAAUUUUGUAAUACCCUAGGUUUUGAACUCAAAAUUUUUCUUAGUAAUUAUGUUUACUUCUCAAGAUAUGACUCAGGUGAUGAGUCAUGAAGAUCGAUCAUAAGUCGUACAAAGCUAAUCAUGGUCUAACCAGUAAGGUUUUCCUAAGUUUCUAUCAUGGUCAUAACUGGGAUUGUAUGAGUCUUAAGGUAAUGUCACAAGUCACAGUGAGAGACUUAUAGCCUUAUCAGUGAGAUGGCCCAAGGUUGCUAUCUUGGUGAUGAAUAGACUCAACGAGUUAUAGGGUGAGGUCAUAAGUCAUAGGGUGGGACUCAUGACCAAACCAGUAAGGAGGCCCAUAGUUUCUUCCUAAACUACGAGUCUUGCUGAUGACUAGUGACCAAUGAUUAUGAGUAAUUUUGUGACCUAUAGUAACUAGGAGUUAUAAUAUUCCUUUUGACUUAUAGAGAUGUUAUGCCUUAUAAAUAUACUAUAGCUUAUAAGUAUGAGAUGAUGGAUAUGUAUAUGAUUACUGAUAUGGAUUCCAAAUAUGUAAUGGCGCUGAAGGCUGUGAUUAUGAUGUUAUAAUUAUUUUGAACAUAUUAUUGGGCCCAAAGUCGUGUAAUGAUAUGAGUUGACCAUUCGGAAAGUGUUUUUCCUUGAAAAGGAUGUAGUUGUAGUUUAUUUAUAUGUUAAUGCUUAUGGUACCAUUAUUUUAAUACUAUGAUGGUAUGCAUAGAUCUGGUACAUUUAUGUUAGUUGCAUCGAUGAUUUGUACAAUUCUAAUUAGAUUGUAAUCUUAUUUCUGUUGUCACUAAUUAAGGGUUAAAGCCCACUUUCUACCUUAAAAUGGAUUUCUUCAUAAUAAUAAUUUUCUAUCUUAAUGAAUAACUUAUAUGUAAAAGAGAUUAAUAAUGAUAUUUAAAAGAUGUGACCAAGGUAGAUUCUGGUCUAUGAUUUGAUACUACAAAUUACUCUGAUCGUGAGACAUUUCGAUCCUUUUAAACUUUAAUAAUGAUUUUGUCCCAAAGUUCACUCUUGAAAACAGACUAAUGAAUUUACACUCGUUUAGCCAUGGCUUGGGUCUGUGCACCUAUCAUCUCCAGAUAUACAUCUCUUCGAUAUAGAAGGGAGAAUAAUAUUGCAUUAAUGAUGUAACUUUCGAGUAAAACUUGAUGAUAGAUUUUAUUAUUGAUGUUAUUACAUAUAUAUAUGUCCUGCUGAUGAUUACGAUUGUAUUGAGUAUAUACCCAGUAAGGCCAAAGGUUGAAAUGAUGACAAUAACACCCGACAAGGUCGGAAGAUAUUAUAAUGAUAUAUUAAUACUUGUCAAGGUCGGGGGAUGGUGUUAUGAUGAUAUUGAUACUUAGAAAGGCUAGAGGAUGAUUAUGUUGAUAUCGCUAUGUGUAUAUUUACUAAUUCGAGUUCGGCUAGCACUUUGAAUGGCGAUUAUAUAUAUAUACCCGACAAGGCCGGAUGAUGAUUAUGAUGACGAUGGCUAUGAUGAUGAUGGUUAUUAUGAUGAUGGUUAUGAUGAUAAUGGUUAUGAUAGUGAUGGUUAAUAUGAUGAUAUUAUGAUACUUGGAUCAGUUAUGGUAUUGUGGAUUCUGUUGUAUUCAUUCUUGCAUGCGUAUUGCCUUUCACCAGUAUAUGCCUAUAUCUAUCAGCCCAUAUAUAUGGGGGGGGGGUGCAUAGGUAUGGAUAAUGAAUAUGACUUGUGAUGUGUUGUAUGCUUAUUUAACCUUCUUAUCCUAGGGAAAUGGGGGCACGUGAUAGGCUCUAUUAGGUAUUUAGUUGUCUGAACUAGCAGGUUACUCGCGUUGUUAUAAACAUUAUUAUUAUAAUUUUUAAGAUAACUGUUAUCGCUAGUUUAUGAUAGAUUAGUCAUUGAUUCGAUAUCAAGACUUGAGGUAUGAUUCUAGCCUCUUCUAUCUUACAUUUAUAUUACUAUGCAUGAUUAUAUGAUGACUUGAUAUAUGGAUUAGAAACCUGAGUAUUCUAGCACUAGCUUCUACUAUUAUUAUGAGGUCUUAAAUAGAUAUUCUGAUGAGUUAGGUUGUACCUCGAGUAGACCUUGGUUAUAUACUUAUAUAUAUAUAUAUAUGCAUACUUAUCUAUAUGUAGAAAUGGUAUUAUCGUAUAUCCUUCAUUUCCUUUAUUUACUUGGGUUAUAUACUCAUUACUUGGCCUUAUAUACUUAUAUUUGUCUUUUUCCGACUCUUACUUGCAUAUUGGCCAUUGAUAAAUAGUAAAGUAUUGGGAUACCUAAGUAUGGCUGGAAUAAGAUAGUGUAUUCUUAUUACUUUCUUAGUCUUAAUAUGUUAGUCUCUUGGACAUGAAUAGGAUAGUUUAUCCUUAUUAUCUAAUUGGUUGUCUUAUAUGGUUGCUAGACAUUUGGGUGUUGUUUUUCAUUAUAUUUAUAUGUUGUAUAUAUCUACUUUAUCUUUGGAGCUCAGUCGGUAGUUUUCUACCGAGUACCACGUAUUUUGUACUCAUACUACACUUCUGCAGCCUAUAGAUUAUAAAUGUGGAUUAUUGUCGUUGAUGUGUGCGUCAUGCGGAGUAUCCAUGGUUGGAAGACUUAGAGUGAGCUCCUGGUAUUUGGAGUAUUACUUAUCUCUAUCUUAUGUAUUUCAUUAGUCUUUGUGUUGUAUUAGAGAUAAGUUGUAUCAGUAUAUUCAUUCUUACUUUACUUUGAAAUCUUGUUAUGUAGAAGCUCUUGUACUAAUACCACCAGGUUUUGGGACUAUGUUAUGUAAUUGAUCUUUUAUUUCAUAUAUUCCACAUUCU